rnacentral:rRNA from 1 species
GACGAACGCUGGCGGCGCGCUUAACACAUGCAAGUCGAGCGAUAACCAUGGCUUCGGCCAUGGGGAGAGCGGCGAACGGGUGAGUAACACGUGAGUGAUCUGCCCUCGGCACCGGGAUAGCCCGGGGAAACCCGGAUUAAUGCCGGAUGGCCUCUCGAGCCCACGGGCUCGUGAGAAAAGAUGGCUUCGGCUUUCGGCCGAGGAGGAGCUUGCGGCGGAUUAGCUUGUUGGUGGGGUAACGGCUCACCAAGGCGACGAUCCGUAGCUGGUCUGAGGGGACGAUCAGCCACACUGGGACUGAGACACGGCCCAGACUCCUACGGGAGGCAGCAGUGGGGAAUCUUGCGCAAUGGGCGAAAGCCUGACGCAGCGACGCCGCGUGAGGGAAGAAGGCCUUCGGGUUGUAAACCUCUUUCAGGAGGGACGAAGCCACUCGGGUUAAUAGCCCAGAGGGUGACGGUACCUCCAGAAGAAGCCCCGGCUAACUACGUGCCAGCCGCCGCCGUAACAC